UGUGUGUGUGUGUGUGUGUGUGUGUGUGUGUGUAUGACAUAUAUACACACACAUAUAUAUUAUACAAACACAUACAUAUAUACACAUAUUCAUCCACACACACACACACACACACACACACACACA
rnacentral:miRNA from 1 species